UACGGAGGGUGCAAACGUUACUCGGAAUCAUUGGGCGUAAAGCGCACGUAGGUGGCUUGUUAAGUCGGGUGUGAAAUCCCUGGGCUCAACCCAGGAAGUGCACUCGAAACUGGCGAGCUUGAGUACUGAAGAGGGUCGCGGAAUUCCCGGUGUAGAGGUGAAAUUCGUAGAUAUCGGGAGGAACACCAGUGGCGAAGGCGGCGACCUGGGCAGAUACUGACACUGAGGUGCGAAAGCGUGGGGAGCAAACAGG
rnacentral:rRNA from 1 species